rnacentral:rRNA from 1 species
GUGGAUUAGAUACCCGGGUAGUCCACACCGUAAACGUUGGGCGCUAGGUGUGGGAUCCAUUCCACGGGUUCCGUGCCGCAGCUAACGCAUUAAGCGCCCCGCCUGGGGAGUACGGCCGCAAGGCUAAAACUCAAAGGAAUUGACGGGGGCCCGCACAAGCGGCGGAGCAUGCGGAUUAAUUCGAUGCAACGCGAAGAACCUUACCUGGGUUUGACAUACACCGGAAAGCUGCAGAGAUGUAGCCCCUUUUAGUCGGUGUACAGGUGGUGCACGGUCGUCGACAACU